rnacentral:rRNA from 1 species
GACGAACGCUGGCGGCGUGCUUAACACAUGCAAGUCGAACGGUAAGGCCCUUUGGGGUACACGAGUGGCGAACGGGUGAGUAACACGUGGGUGAUCUGCCCUGCACUUCGGGAUAAGCCUGGGAAACUGGGUCUAAUACCGGAUAGGACCACUGCCUGCAUGGGUGGUGGUGGAAAGCUUUUGCGGUGUGGGAUGGGCCCGCGGCCUAUCAGCUUGUUGGUGGGGUGAUGGCCUACCAAGGCGACGACGGGUAGCCGGCCUGAGAGGGUGACCGGCCACACUGGGACUGAGAUACGGCACAGACUCCUACGGGAGGCAGCAGUGGGGAAUAUUGCACAAUGGGCGCAAGCCUGAUGCAGCGACGCCGCGUGAGGGAUGACGGCCUUCGGGUUGUAAACCUCUUUCAGCACCGACGAAGCGCAAGUGACGGUAGGUGCAGAAGAAGGACCGGCCAACUACGUGCCAGCCGCCGCGGUAA